GUAUAUUGGGAAACUCAUCAAAUAUUUAUGAAAUACCGAGACCAGCUGCCGUCUCAAUGGCGGGCCCCACUCUCAGGAGUUGCUUUUCAAGCGCAGGCGGAUUACAAAGAUGCGGUGGCACUCAAAUCCUGUCAUUCGGAGUUUCAUCACAAAUUCCUUUGAUGUGGCUUUA
rnacentral:sRNA from 1 species